rnacentral:rRNA from 1 species
UACGUAGGGUGCGAGCGUUGUCCGGAAUUAUUGGGCGUAAAAGGGGCUCGUAGGCGGUUUGUCGCGUCGGGAGUGAAAACCAGGUGCUUAACACCUGGCUUGCUUUCGAUACGGGCAGACUAGAGGCAUGCAGGGGAGAACGGAAUUCCUGGUGUAGCGGUGAAAUGCGCAGAUAUCAGGAGGAACACCGGUGGCGAAGGCGGGUCUCUGGGCCGAUACUGACGCUGAGGAGCGAAAGCGUGGGGAGCGAACAGG